rnacentral:piRNA from 1 species
UCCUUGAAGUCUCUAAAUGCCAUAAGGAGA